rnacentral:rRNA from 1 species
GAUUAGAUACCCCGGUAGUCCUGGCCGUAAACGAUGGGUACUAGGUGUAGGAGGUAUCGACCCCUUCUGUGCCGGAGUUAACGCAAUAAGUACCCGCCUGGGGAGUACGACCGCAAGGUUGAAACUCAAAGGAAUUGACGGGGGCCCGCACAAGCGGUGGAGUAUGUGGUUUAAUUCGACGCAACGCGAAGAACCUUACCAGGUCUUGACAUUGAUGGACAGAACUAGAGAUAGUUCCUCUUCUUCGGAAGCCAAAAAACAGGUGGUGCACGGUUGUCGUCAGCUCGUGUCGUGAGAUGUUGGGUUAAGUCCCGCAACUAGCGCAACCCCUAUCUUAUGUUGCCAGCACUUUGGGUGGGAACUCAUGAGAGACUGCCGCAGACAAUGCGGAGGAAGGCGGGGAUGACGUCAAAUCAUCAUGCCCCUUAUGACCUGGGCUACACACGUACUACAAUGGGAGUUAAUAGACGGAAGCGAGAUCGCGAGAUGGAGCAAACCCGAGAAACACUCUCUCAGUUCGGAUCGUAGGCUGCAACUCGCCUACGUGAAGUCGGAAUCGCUAGUAAUCGCAGGUCAGCAUACUGCGGUGAAUACGUUCCCGGGCCUUGUACACACCGCCCGUCACACCACGAAAGUCGGAAGUGCCCA